rnacentral:rRNA from 1 species
UACGAAGGGGGCUAGCGUUGCUCGGAUUGACUGGGCGUAAAGGGCGCGUAGGCGGUUCGUACAGUCAGACGUGAAAUUCCUGGGCUCAACCUGGGGGCUGCGUUUGAUACGUGUGGACUUGAGUGCGGAAGAGGGUCGUGGAAUUCCCAGUGUAGAGGUGAAAUUCGUAGAUAUUGGGAAGAACACCGGUGGCGAAGGCGGCGACCUGGUCCGAUACUGACGCUGAGGCGCGAAAGCGUGGGGAGCAAACAGG